rnacentral:lncRNA from 1 species
CCAAAACACAUAUCGAAGAGCCUUGAGAUAGCAGACUAUACAUUACCAUUUUACCCUUAACAUAUACUUAUCAUGAUAUCUGGUUAUACAGGAGAUCAUCACCAAAUAUGAAUGCUCAUUUCAGCCAAAAAAAAGAACUAAAAUAAAUCUGAAAUACAUGCAAUUGAAUUGAGUCCUUUACCACAACAUCUUAACAGUCCCAUGACAAUGUAUAAUGAGAAUAUUUCUACUAACUAAACUAGAAAUCAACUCGAAUGAUGAAUCACAUCAGUAAGAACACAAAAUCGAGAAGACAUUUCAGAUGAAGCAUGGAUAAAGCUGAUAAUAUGCCUUAAAAUUUUCUUCCUUUCAUUUCAUUCCUCAAAUCCGUCUUCACAAUCAGCAGGGCCUAAGAGUAUGUACCUGAGUAAGUGAAAACAAAAGCAGAAUAUCAAGCUGAAGAUCACGAGAACACAGCAACAACAGAAACCAGCAAUGUAACAGUGCCGGAUCCCAGAUUCAGGCAAUAAAACAGUAACACCCAAACAUCACACUUAAAACAAACUUUUGGAUAUCCAAAAUUCAAUCCAUUUCAACCCAAUUGCAUGAUUUUUUCAUUUUCAGUAGUGUUAAUCAAGCAAUAAAGAUCAGCAACCAGGAAACCAAUCUAAUUUUGAGAGGUUUUCAAACAAGGAAAUGUAAAGAAUUCAAGAAUAUUUCAUAAUUUUUCAAAGAAGGCAGCCGUUUCAGUUUUUUUUAGGAUUUUUGUUGUCUAAAUAUCUUUUCCGCCUCUCGGCUCUUUUUUUCUUGUCUGCCUUGAAAUGCAAGAAAUGAUGCCUUUAUAGGCAAGAAAGUAGGGCAGCCUCAACUUAGGUGCCCUUAGUUAAAUUUUCAGAAUUCAAGAUAGCCCCCCACCCCCAGCUUCCUAGAAGCUUCCCAUUCAGUUACACAAAGAUUCCCCACCUCAAUUACCUAUACUACCCUCUACACUCUGUUUAUUACCCUCUAUAUGCCAGGAAGAAUCCGGGUCCAAUUGACCCAAAUUAAUGGGUCUACGUAGACCCCAUUCAACUCCCUCUUAUGCUAUUUAAUCCUUAUGAACCCAAUUAAUAUGAAGAAAAAACCAAAAACCCCAACGUUCAAAUUCAGAAACUUAAUGACUCGGAACAAAAUUGAGCCCAAAACAAGAAUGAAAAUUCAAACUAUACGUACUUGAAGACAAGACCCAACUGAUAAUCAAACACAACUUGAAUCUAACUUGCAGAUACAGACAGUGUGAAGAAAUAAAAAAAUGAGAAAUCAAAAUCAGAAAACUAAAAGAAAGAGUAGAAGAAGGUAAGAAGAGAACAAAGAAACAUAAGUUAAAUAACGAAAGGUAAAGAAGAACAAAAUACCUUAAAACAACUCGGACCAGUAAAGAAUGGUGACGAAUCUUCAAGUCUUCAAAUUUUUGGCUCAGUUUGAGAUUAAUCGUGUGUUCUUUAUCAAAAACACAUGAAUAAAGUCAAAAGGGACCUAAAAUCUUCAAUGAAAUCUUGAUUCGGAAAUCUUGGGAUUUUAGGUUUCAAUUUCUGAUCUAAUAUUCGAGAAGAUCGGGCAACAUUCUAGGGAAACUAACCCGGAAUUUGGUGGUGAACAGAGGUGGCGCUACCGGGCUAAGGCGGUGGGAAUUAGGGCGGCGGAUUAGGGUUUAGGGGGUGUUUCUGAAGAGAUGAGGGUGAGUUAGAC